rnacentral:lncRNA from 1 species
GAUAUUCUCUUAUAGCAGCACAAAAUGGACCAAGACAGAAAACUGGUACCAAGAAGCAGGGCUGAUGCUAUAACAAAUGCCUGAAAAUGUGGAAGCAACUUUGGAACUGGGUAAUGCAUAGAGGCUGGAAGAAUUUAGAGGAGCGGGCUAGAAAACACCUAGACUGCCAUGAAUGAAGCACUAAGGGCAAUUCUUAAGAAGGCUCAGAAGAAGAGAAAAGCUGUCAGCAAAGUUUGGACCUUCCUAGAGAUUACUACAGUGAUCCACCGCACCAGGCCUGAUGAGAAAUAAUUUAAAGAUUGAAUUUAUCACUAAAAGGAAAGCAGAGCAGAAAGAUUUAGAAAAUUCACAGCCUGGCCUGGUAAAGAGUGAAAAGGCAUCUUUAGGAGAGCAAACCAAGGCCAUAGCCAAGCAAAAAUUUGCUAAAGAGAUUGUAGGAAUAGAGGAAAGCCAGGUUCCAUUUAUUAAGGCAAUGGAAGGAUGAUCCCAGAGGCAUUUCAGAGCUCUUUAAGACAAGCCAGGGCCUUGAGGGCGAGGUUUCCAGAGAGGCCCCUGUGAAACCUCAACAUUUGCUGCUCUGUACUGACUCCUGCCCAGGAGUUCGAGGCUGCAGUGAGCUGUAAUCAUACCACUGUACUCCAGCCUGGACAACAGAGCAAGAUGCUUGUCUCAAAGGAAAAGAAACACCCUCUAGCAACCUAGCCGCCCACCACACUACUGAAAACCAAAGAGAAAGAGAAAAUUUUGAAGACGACCAAAAACAGAAGACACAUUAAAUGCAGAGGAACGAA